GAAAAUCACUAGAGAAGUCCAAAUCAAAUCCCAAACAAAACCCAAAGUAAACAAAAAGAAAAUAACAAAACAUAAGAAAUAAAACAAAAAGUAUCGUCUUCCCCAGCAUUUCCAGACUCUUCUCGCAUCAAAGAUCCCUAUCAAUAAACGGCGAAGUCUUCCAAAAUCCAACAAUGAAUUGUCCGGAAAAGGAAAAUAGUUGAGACGGUCAUCCAUAUUUCAAUAUUUUCUCAACCCAAUCGUUGCUACAAAGAAAUGUCUAUGGAGGUCGACUAGACCGCCGAUCAGAAUCGACGACUUCUACAGCUUUCAAAGGCGCAUCUUCAAUUCUACUUCAUUUCACAAACCCUCAACAGCCAUAGUAUGUGCUGCUUGAUCAUCUUCACACGCAAUAAAUUGGAUUUGGCAAGAAUGAAAAUGCCGCCAAAUUCUUCGCAUCUCAGAGCAAAUUGAAGCCCAUGAAGAACAGCUAUUGCUUCAGCAAUCACUACCGAAUGAGUCAGACCUCUACAUCAACAUUAAUCUUAACCCACCCUUGCGGAAGGGGCAUCUAUUUAACCUUGGAUCUUGGCUUGGGUUGCUUCAGCUUCAACGCACAGGCCCGAUACUUCAAUCCAAAACCCCGAAUGAAGCAGUCGAGCAAUCCCGAACAGUAUGAGUAGAUGACUCGCAAACCAGUCUACAACGCGGACAUUUGUUAUCUGUGAUCAUUCUCAUGAAAUUGAAAGUCCAGCAACUGAAUCCUCCAUUAUCCUUCUACAGAAAACAGACAACUUACCAUAAAACAGUAAAAAGAAAGAAAAGACACAGAACCAAGCCCAGAAGAAAGAAGCGUGUCAAAAGACAGAGAGAAAGCGUGUUAAAAGACAGAGAAUAGUAUAAAUGUUGUAUUAUUAUUAUUGAAUUCAGUAUCAGGCCAAAAAUUAAAGUUAUUAUAUGAUAUAAUAAGUGAGACAUAUUUUAACUCUACAAUAAUUAAGAUUGUUGAGGCACUUUUUUGAGCAAUUACAAUAAUAGUUACAAUUGUGCUUGUAACAUAUUAUAAUUCAUAAAUUUUUCUUAUUUGUUGCAUAUUUUACCAAA